ACUAUUGCCUGCUCCCUUUGAGGCUGGCUGCAGGUAUGGAGGAGCACAGCUGCUUGGACACUUUUCAGCUGGACAUCUUCUAAGGGAGGAGGGAGAACUGCUUGGAGGUCUACGGAGGCAGUGAAGUCUCGGGCAGGUAGUGCUUUCAUAGAUCGCAUCGCUGCAGGUUUUGCCUGCUUGGGCUGUCAAGCGAAUGUAGCAGGAGCAUUCAGGAGUGGAAUGUGAUGAACCAUAAAUAAAGAGGAGACUCCCAGGAAAGCAUCAGGAGACCACGGAGGAGAAGGCUGGCCCGGCAGCUGGUGAGAUCGCCCGGUGACUUGUGUCCAGCUUUACAGGGACCUCCUGCCUGACCAUGGGUAAGCCACAGCAUCGUGUUCUGCUUCAAUAUCCCACCCUCGGAGUGGAAGGAAGAGCCAUGGCAGAUGUAUUAGCAGUCCCCAACCCAAGGGCUUCUUGGUGUCUGCAUGACCCUUUGCAUCCUAUGAGGAUUAAAAGAUCGGACAGGCUGCUCAGCAAAAUAGCGGGACCGCAGAGGCAGAUGGAGAGGACGUUAUUAUGAGUCUGUUUUGCAGCCGCAGAGUUGCAGAUCUCAGGGGUCUAGCAGGGAAAUCUGUGAGGGCAAAGGGGUGCCUGGGACAAAAGUGCUGUGCCCCAAAAUUAGAAGACCCUGAAAGACAGCAUCCAAAAUAACAGCACACUUGCUGUGCUCUUCCCAGGUGCUGGAGGGCCAAGGAUGUCUCUGUGCUGGGGCUUGGGAAUGCACAGGCAUAGGACUGCCCUGUGGUGGGAGGCAUUUUUCUGAAAGCUUAUCCUGAACUUUUAAAGGAUUUUUUUUUUCAGCUUCAAACCCUGUAUAUUAUAAAGCAAAAUUCCUUGUGUUGUUAGCAUCACUUUCAACCAGCAGCAAUCAUUAGAUCCUGAGUCUGUUGCCAGCGGCAGCGCCGGUGAUUUACCUUGUUUGCUGCAAGGCUAAAGGACGAGCCAGUUUCCCCCUUUGCUGAGCUUCCCACAUUGCCUCUUUGCUCACGAGGAAGCAAAAUCUCUACAAAAACUGGGCUGCCACCACAUCAGGAGACUGCCAACAACCGCCUCCAGGUGCGGCUGUCUUGGAAUGUAUUUAAAAACCCACCCUGAAUGCAUUUCUCCUCCUCUGCAUUUUUCCCAAUAGAAUUCCCCCCCCCAGCCUGAGCUCCCGAUGCCGGUGUGCAGGGAUGACCACCCUCUGCUACUGGCCGGGUGGCCGGUGGCACGUCCCGCGUCGGAGCGACCUGUCCUCAUCCCAUCGACAGGCUUUGUUCGCCGUGCUCGGUUUUGCUCCCCUGCUAACCCCAUCGUGCUGCUCCUAUUUUUAAUACCAAGGGAUAAACCCGCCUCUUCGCUGCGUCUCGCACGCAUUGUGAGCGGUGCAAGGUAUUAAGUUGAGCACGUCUGCGUUUAGCACCUGCCAGCCGGGUCCUGGCAAGGAAUGCACCGGCUCUUCUGUGUCACCAGCCCCGAAUUAUAGCAUUUCUUCUUCCUCCAUGGGAGAUGCCUUCCUCGGCUGAAAUGACAGUGCCAAAUUCUCCCUGCGUGACAGAAGGUUGGUUGGUUGUUUUUUUUUUUUUUUUCUCCUGCUUGCGCUGAAAAGCAGCUGCUAAAGUGGAGUUAAUUCAUCCCAGUGCCACAAAAGAGGAGAAGGAGGUGAGAAUGCUGCCGCAUCCCGGCGUCUGCCCUCGUUUGGUGCAGGCACAGGCAGCAGCAAGCCACGACUUGGGGGGUACCUGCUACCCAAGGGUGCUCCUUGGAAAAGUGGAUGGGGUGCCACUGAAAUAUGCUGCACAUUUUUUCCCCUUUUAGCACAGCAAUUCCCUUUAUUUUUUCCUGGGCUCAACUUAAAGUUUGUGCCUUGUUUUUUGUUUUUUGUUUUUUUUUUUUUUUAAUUUUUGCAGGACUUUUAUUGCGAUGACAGGGAUACCAGAGUGGAACAUCUGAUCACUGGGAUAAACAUGUCCCAAAAUAAAGGGUUUGCACAUCCUGUUUUUAAAGCUGGUCUUGCAAAAUGUUCAAAAGCUUUUCUAUUUUGCUAGCAUUUCAGUGUCCAUAAAUGGCGCAAACUUUUUCCAGCUAUUGUUAGUGGCAGUAUCUAUAACUCAGUGACUGUGAUAUUGCACAUUCAAAAUGAGGAUGAAUAAAUAAAUACAUGAAGUAAAACACAAUGGCUCAGCUAGGUUCCCUGGAGUUAUGCUGGGAAAAGCUGCUGACUACAAGGCCCAGGAGCUCCUGUAGUUAUUUCGGGGCGAACAGGUUGCAAACAAGCCAGGAAAACUUGUAUUCUAGGACUUUAUCUUCCUGGGACAUAUCCUGAAAUGGAUGGGAUGCUGGCCUGGAGUGCGAGACUGGGUGACUUUUGUGUCUUCACAUCUUCAGUGAUGUGCUCUGAACGCCUGGGUCAGGAGCCUGGUCCCCAGUGGUCCCCACUGAAAUCACUGGAAAAAGCCCCAGUGCUGCGAUGGAGCCAGCAUCCCUGUGGGUUGCCAGGUCAGAAUGUUCAUGGUAUCUUGCUGAUGGCAGGAUCAGAGCAGCUUUUACAGCCUUACCAGACUCAGGGGGCUCCCCAAGGUCACUACUCCCUCUCAGCAUCCCUGCUCAGAGCUCACAAGAAUUGCUCUGCCUUUUGAGGUGCUCCACCUGGAGCCAUGCUGGAGAAGAGCAAUUCAUCCAUGCUUUCUCCUGAGGUUCCUUAAACAAAUAACACACGCGCAUUUUAAAUGGUUUUAUUAGACUCUUUGAGUCGAUUUGUAGAGACCCAACCUCAGAAUCAAUCCACGUACUCUCAAAAGCCCCGUUAACAUCCGCAGCGUGGGGCCAAGACUCCGUUUUCCCCCGGAGGGAGGCAUCCUUGCGGCACCCAGCCCUGAGCUGGUGUGGGGUUAGCUCAUAACUCCGCGUCAGCGCACAAACCUUGACGGUCUCGCUCCUGCAGCAAUCAGCCUGUGCUGGGAGCUGUCAAGGACCACGUGUGUUAUCCCUCCCGAGUGCAGAGUGGAUGAGGAGGAGGUUGGAACGCAACUCAACGUCCCACACGGUGAUGGUGGAACCGUCAGAUCCUGUCCCCACCUGCCAGGAAAGGAGAACUUGCUGUGAAAUAUUCUGCCUUGCACUGCUUUGCCUUUGACCAACGAAGAGCGGCCGGAGAAGGGAACUGACGCCGUGCCGUCAUGUAAUGGAGAAUUACAUCUUCUUUGGCCGGAUGAUGGGUUCCUUCUGCUUUUGAGAGGGAGAAGCCCUGUGCCCACUUGGGCCACGUCAGCCACUGCCCGUGGGUUUCUGCGUGGGGAGAAUGCCACUCGCUGUCAGGCUGGGGAGGCAAGACAUGCUCUGGCUGCACGCUGAGCCGCGCUUAGCAUGGUACCCACCCUGCCGCAACCAGGAGGUAAAUGCUGAUUUAUGAUACAUACAGUCCCUGUUAGACCCUGCACUGAGCAGUCAGUAACACAGAGGUCACGUGUGGGUUGUGCUGGGUUUUACUGAGUGUGAAAGUGGGGAAUAGUCCAAAUAUACCCAUAAAAGAUCGGGGUUGGGUGCUUCAUUACUGCGGUGAGUUAGGAGCGUUUCCAAGGGGAGGCAUGUGUUGGGCUGGUAACGAGCUCUCCUUUGGCAGAGGCAGAGCAUCGAAUGGGUACGAAAACUGGAGGCUGAAGGCAGCAGAUGUGAGAGGUGAAGAGAAGGGUGUUUGCAGCUGGGGGUACUGGGAUGCCCGAGGCAGUGCACGCUGCAAGGGACCUGUGGCAGAAGGAUGCUGCCAGGCUCCACGCUGGGUGGUGGGACCCAGCCGGCCCAGGAUGGACAGCAAACUGGAGGCUACGGAGGGCUACAGGGACAGGAGCGGGUGGCAAACCCCUCCUCAAAGGAGGCAAACCUCAUCGAAGAGGUUAAAGGGAACGUUGAAGGAUCCUAGGAGCAGUUGCCAGGUAGUGCCAUGCACAAGACUGACUUAAUGCCAGCCAGGGGGUGGUGGGGGGGUGGGUUUCAUGGACUGUUUUUCGGUCUCACCCAAGCACUUCUCCAUCCCAGAUCCCAAAUGAUGAUGUUGUGCUGAGGCCAAACACAACACGGCAGGAGCCAAACCAUGACAUGAACGCAGGGACCUGCAAAGGUGGAAAGUUGAAAGGCGCUUAGGACUUGUUCUCCAGGUGUACAUCUUCCUCCUUUUGUGCCCAUCCAUGAGCCCACAGAGGUCUUGGGGCAGCUUGAAGAUGUGAUGAAAAGGUCUCCUUAUGCCACCUACCCGGUGUGGGAAACAGCUUCCUCGUGUGCAUUGGGGUGGUGUGACACUGCAGGAGCUGGCUGUGUCCUCCGAGUUCCUGGGGAAGGUGCUGGAGAUAAAAGACCCAAGGCAAGUUUCUCUGUUGAUGGCCUGCCUUGUUAUCCUAGGAAUGGGAAAGACGGGUGCACAGAGUGGGGUGAGGACAGACCAUCCUUAAGGUGCCACUACACCAACCCCAGCCAUGCUGGGAGCACCGUGACCUGGUGCAAAGGUGAAGCCCUUCAUUCUGAGACCAGCCCAGACCUGUCUCCAAGACUUGAGGUGCUCCUCGUGAUGUUCUCCUCCAGACGUGACCCCAGGAGCUUUGCUUGAACUGGAAAGCAGCUCAUUUGGAAAGGUUUUCUGUAGUUCCUCCAGACCCACUCGACAAGCUCUAAUAAUAACUAACUGCCUUUCUAUUUAUAAAUGAGAACAGCAGCGAGGAACUCGGCUCAUGCGGCUGAGGCCACCGCAGCCUCGGUGCUCCCACUCUCUGCCAUCGAGCUCUUUGUCUCUGCUGUCCUGCCAGAGCCCCAGCAGCCCUGCCAUCGUGCAUGGGAAAGGGCAUUUCCCAGGGCUCUUUCCUUCGAGUACACACACACGUUUAAUUUUUCUUUUUCCUCGUUGACAAGGGAAUAUUUUCUUUUUAAAAACGGGGAUUGUUUUUUGUAGCAGCUCCCACCCCACUUUGUAAAACAAACAUUUCCCAAGCGCUUGAUUUUUCAGAUGAUGUUGUUACUCGAACAUCAGCGCCAAUAUCAGAAAAUGUAUUUCUUAGUGGAGCCUGGGGAUUUUGUGCUGCCCGUCUCCCAGCAGCCAGAUGUGACGCAGAGGACUGACAGAUCCUUUCGUCCGAGCCAGCUGGAUGUGACCCACGUUAGGGUUGAGUCGGAAAAGCAUUUGGGUUUAGAUUAACAUGCUGUAGCCCAAGGCCCGCUCUCGCCCAGCCUGCAUGCAGGAGGGGAGCAUCACCUCCACUUCAGCUGGGUCAGCUCGAGCCGAGGCUCGAGUCAGGCUGAAGCUGCCUUUGCUGGCUCCAGUCUCACAGGGACCAGACAUCUCCAGCCAGUUCUGGUUCUACCCACAGCGUUCCCUCUGCUCCCCUUCCCGACAGUGCCAGGUCCUGUACCUGCACUUCUGGGAGAGACUGGAGAGAGUUUUUUCCUGUAAUACAUCCUCUCGCUAUCUCCACUACAUGCAGGAUGCCAGAUUCGAUGAAAAUACUCUGAUCUGUUCUGACAAAUCCUCUGUUCCUAAGUAGAUAAUAACCAGAAAAUCUUCCUAAAUAAAUCCUGGUUUCGGA